rnacentral:misc_RNA from 1 species
UAAGCCAGCGCUGGAGAGUUAGGCGCCCGCACCAAGUGUGGCGGGGACUGAAAUUCCGGCGCGAUGUGCUCGCACGCAGCUUUCAAAUUCUGCUUCGGUCAUACCCGUGAGCGAAAACGUCACAAUCUGGAUGUACAUGACUGGUCCUCACCCUGUAACGCGAGUUUUGUCGAGCGUUUGUGAUAGUUGAGACAUGGAUCUGUUCCAGGCGGUUCUGCUUGCAAGCGCCUCUGGAAGCGUGUCGAUCGGAGGCGCGUUCUUCAUCUUCUCUGUCGGCGUGAUGCCCGGCCUCGCGAAGCUACCUUCUACGCAAGGUAUGCAAGCGAUGCAGUUCAUCAACAUGGUCAUCCUGAAUCCACUGUUUUUGAGCGUGUUCCUUGGCACCGCCGUGGCGUGCGCGGCGGCGAUGCUGCUCGCCGUAGGGCAGACGGAGGUGGCUUAG